rnacentral:rRNA from 1 species
ACGCACGCUGGCGGCGUGCUUAACACAUGCAAGUCGCACGAUGAAGCCAGCUUGCUGGUGGAUUAGUGGCGAACGGGUGAGUAACACGUGGGUGAUCUGCCCCAAACUUUGGGAUAAGCCUGGGAAACUGGGUCUAAUACCGAAUAUGACCGAUACUCGCAUGGGUGUUGGUGGAAAGCUCCGGCGGUUUGGGAUGGGCCCGCGGCCUAUCAGCUUGUUGGUGGGGUAAUGGCCUACCAAGGCGACGACGGGUAGCCGGCCUGAGAGGGCGACCGGCCACACUGGGACUGAGACACGGCCCAGACUCCUAUGGGAGGCAGCAGUGGGGAAUAUUGCACAAUGGGCGCAAGCCUGAUGCAGCGACGCCGCGUGAGGGAUGACGGCCUUCGGGUUGUAAACCUCUUUCACCAGGGACGAAGCGAAAGUGACGGUACCUGGAGAAGAAGCACCGGCCAACUACGUG